AUUGAACGCUGGCGGCAGGCCUAACACAUGCAAGUCGAGCGGAGCGGCGGACGGGUGAGUAAUGCCUAGGAAUCUGCCUGGUAGUGGGGGAUACCGUCCGGAAACGGGCCCUAAUACCGCAUACUAUCAGAUGAGCCUCGGUCGGAUUAGCUAGUUGGUGGGGUAAAGGCUUACCAAGGCGAUGAUCCGUAACUGGUCUGAGAGGAUGAUCAGUCACACUGGAAAUGAGACACGGCCCAGACUCCUACGGGAGGCAGCAGUGGGGAAUAUUGGACAAUGGGCGAAAGCCUGAUCAAGCCAGGCCGCGUGUGUGAAGAAGGUCUUCGGAUUGUAAAGCACUUUAAGUUGGGAGGCGUUACCAACAGAAUAAGCACCGGCUAACUUCGUGCCAGCAGCCGCGGUAAUAC
rnacentral:rRNA from 1 species